rnacentral:misc_RNA from 1 species
UAGUGUAACUAAUUUCUUAGUGGAAGAAAACGAACUCACAGGUACCCACGUACCCACGCAAGUACAACGACGAUCAUCGCCCUCCCACUCUCUUGACUCCUCCCUUCUCUGAUCUGCGUGUGCGUCGGUGAGUCAGACCACAAUGUUCCGCCGCUCCUUCAUUUCGGCCUUUCAGGCCACCCGCGCCGCCCGUGUCUCGCUCGUCUUCAAGCAGCUAGAGGGUAACAUGCCCCUGACCAAGAAGGACAAGCCGGUCGACUCGUGGUCGGACGAGUUCAUGAAGCCGCCGCAGUCGGCAGAGAUGACGAAGAAGUAUGGUCGCUAUGCCAAGUACUCCGACCCGGCUCUCUGCGACGUGGACACCUCAGAUGAGGUCGUGCUGAACACGUACCCGGAGGGAGCUCCGCAGGGCCGCAUCGAGGCCACCGCCGGCGUGGCUCUGAAGGACUACGAUGCAAGCAUGUGGGACGAGGAGUUCUUUCGCAAGCACAUCCUCAAGCCAAAACUCGCCGACGACAUGGAGGACCGCGCCCGCGUCACGGACUACGCGCUCAACUCCGCGAUGCUCGGCUUUGUGAUUCUCAUGGCCCGCUACGCCGUGCUGCCGCUUUGGUACGUUGGGCAGCCCGCCAUGUCCAUGGUCGGCCAGAUGAACAUCGAGGCCGAGAUCGGCGAGCUCGACGAGCGCCAGUGCACGACGGUCGUGUGGCGUGGCAAGCCCGUUUUCGUGUACCGUCGCUCGGCUCGUCAGAUGAAGGAGGUGAUGGAGACGCCGCUGUCGGCACUCAAGGACCCUGAAACCGACGAAGCCCGCUUCCCGGACCGCCGCGACAAGGCUGUCGUCAUUGCCAUCUGCACCCACCUCGGCUGCGUGCCGAUCCCCAACGAGGGUCUCUUCAACGGCUUCUUCUGCCCGUGCCACGGCAGCCACUACGACCCCUCCGGCCGUAUCCGUCAAGGCCCUGCCCCGCUGAACCUUGAGGUGCCGCCGUACCGCUGGAUCGAUGACAACACAAUUUACAUGGGUAAGCUGUAAGCUGCUCCCGUCUGGGGUGCAACCAUGUGCACACACUCUUGUGCUGACGACGUCUUUUUCUCUGUCUUUGCUCUUGUUGUUGUGAUGAGCAGCUCACCUGGCGUGUCCACGCUUGAGAGGUGUACGGUGCUGUAUGACUCUCGUGGCUCUGUCGGCGCGCUCCGUCGUGCUGGGUUGUCAUUGCAAAUAGUGGGCAUGGGUGGGAGAGCAAGUGAUCUUGGGUGUUGUCGUCUUUCCUGUUCUCUCCCCUUGCGUGUCGGUGUGGGUGUAGGUGUGGGUGUGGGUGUCGAUCUAUUUUUCUUUUGCGUAGGAAAGUCGUAUCUCCAACGGGAAGUCCCUUAGAAUGCACACAAACACACAUGUGUACGUACAAGCCCGGUCAAGCACACGCACGUGUUUCUUGCCCUCUAUCACCCAUCACACACGCACAGACGUGCACACAGCCCGACCGCGAGCCCGUACACACAAACGCAAAACGCCCACACCACAUCUUUCUCUCUCUGCCUAUCUUGGUCGGCUUUAUGAGGUGAUGCUAUUCACGCGCAGGAGAUUUCGUAUGUGUCUGGAAGGCUCGCGAGGGUGUGCACUUUAUUCGGGGGGUUUCUUUGUGUGCAUGCAUGCAUGUGUGUGUGUGUGUGUGUGUAUCUCUGCAUGUGCGCAUGUGUGCUCUUACCUUUCUUCCUUUUAAAAAAAAGUAGCAGUAUCUUAUCAGCACCAGCAAUAAAGCAUGCGAAAGGCAAACGAACAAUAACAAAAAGCGGAAAACUCUCACGCCUACAGAGGCCACGCCAACGAGCCUGGCUCAUCGGGCACACGUGUCCCUUUACAGCAGUAAAGAAAGGUACGGUGACGGGGAUGGGAUGCAAGUUAGCUGGCAAGGAGCACCAUCUUCAAGUGCGCCACAGGAAAAGAGGUGAUCUGUGUGUAAGGGCAAAGCAGAGAUUGUUACAAGCGCGGGAGAGGGAGCAAGAGGAAGAGAGGGGGGAGAAAAACGGUUUUCAGGUGCAAGCGUGAUAUUCUCUGGUGUCUCCAACAAGUCGUCCGCGAUCCCCCGCCCCCCCCCUAUUCCUCUUCGUUUCUCCUCUCGCUUCCACGGCCUCUCUGUCCUUAUCUUAUCGCGUUUCUGUGGUGGUGGUGGCUGCUGUUGACCUUGGAGAGG